AUGUCGUGAAGAUGAAUCUGACUGCGGUGUAAGCUGGAUUACGCCAGUAUGACCAGUGUUGCUUCCAUAGGCAAGCCAUACAUUGCGUCCAGAAUGAUUGUGAGUAUUGAGUUUCAAAAUGCAAGUCCUUUGAACCAGGGCGAGGGACGCCUAAUUCACUAAUCAAUGCUUUGUUCCUCCUGUACAGGUCUGAGUUCUUGUAUACGUCGGUGAAAUCAACGCCUAACAUCAUUUCUUGAGCCGAGGCUGUGACUUCUAACAUCCAAGUUGCUGGGUUGUAACCCUCCUUGAUUUUUGCUACCCCAGGAUUUGACUGUAUUCAAGGUAAAACUAAGGUCAGUGUUUGAUCAUAUACAGUGGAAAAGGAAGAGUCAUUUUCUCUUUAGUACAACUUACCUCAAAGUAUUUGAUCAAAUGGCAAGAAUGGCGACCCAAUGGACCUACGUAAAUCUCUUGUCCUCCUCGUUUCAUUAGAAAUAGCUACAAAGCCGCUUAAGAGUUUAGUACUCGAUUUUAUAAAAAGAUAAAAUAUAAAGACUAGCUGGGUUGUGCUUAAAUGAUAUGAAAUCCACCUCAUCAAAGGCUUCAAAAAUGUCGAUGCUAGGCUGAUGAAUAGUACAAACAACGGUUCUUCCAGUAUCGACAGUGUUCCUAACCGCUCUCAUAACAAUCGCAGCAGCUCUUGCGUCCAGCCCUGAAGUUGGUUCAUCCAUGAAAAUGAUAGAG
rnacentral:lncRNA from 1 species